ACCUACGGGGGGCAGCAGUAGGGAAUCUUCCACAUUGGGCGAAAGCCUGAUGGAGCAACGCCGCGUGGGUGAAGAAGGUCUUCGGAUCGUAAAACCCUGUUGUUAGAGAAGAAAGUGCGUGAGAGUAACUGUUCACGUUUCGACGGUAUCUAACCAGAAAGCCACGGCUAACUACGUGCCAGCAGCCGCGGUAAUACGUAGGUGGCAAGCGUUAUCCGGAUUUAUUGGGCGUAAAGGGAACGCAGGCGGUCUUUUAAGUCUGAUGUGAAAGCCUUCGGCUUAACCGGAGUAGUGCAUUGGAAACU
rnacentral:rRNA from 1 species